CCUACGGGGGGCUGCAGUGGGGAAUAUUGGACAAUGGGGGGAACCCUGAUCCAGCCAUGCCGCGUGUGUGAAGAAGGCCCUCGGGUUGUAAAGCACUUUCAGUGAGGAAGAACGCCUGGUGGUUAAUACCCAUCAGGAAAGACAUCACUCACAGAAGAAGCACCGGCUAACUCCGUGCCAGCAGCCGCGGUAAUACGGAGGGUGCGAGCGUUAAUCGGAAUUACUGGGCGUAAAGCACGCGUAGGUGGCUUGAUAAGCCGGUUGUGAAAGCCCCGGGCUCAACCUGGGAACGGCAUCCGGAACUGUCAAGCUAGAGUGCAGGAGAGGAAGGUAGAAUUCCCGGUGUAGCGGUGAAAUGCGUAGAGAUCGGGAGGAAUACCAGUGGCGAAGGCGGCCUUCUGGACUGACACUGACACUGAGGUGCGAAAGCGUGGGUAGCAAACAGGAUUAGAUACCCUGGUAGUC
rnacentral:rRNA from 1 species